rnacentral:rRNA from 1 species
GACGAACGCUGCGGCGUGCUUAACACAUGCAAGUCGAACGAAGAGCGAUGGAAGCUUGCUUCUAUCAAUCUUAGUGGCGAACGGGUGAGUAACGCGUAAUCAACCUGCCCUUCAGAGGGGGACAACAGUUGGAAACGACUGCUAAUACCGCAUACGAUCUAAUCUCGGCAUCGAGGAUGGAUGAAAGGUGGCCUCUACAUGUAAGCUAUCACUGAAGGAGGGGAUUGCGUCUGAUUAGCUAGUUGGAGGGGUAACGGCCCACCAAGGCGAUGAUCAGUAGCCGGUCUGAGAGGAUGAACGGCCACAUUGGGACUGAGACACGGCCCAGACUCCUACGGGAGGCAGCAGUGGGGAAUCUUCCGCAAUGGACGAAAGUCUGACGGAGCAACGCCGCGUGAGUGAUGACGGCCUUCGGGUUGUAAAGCUCUGUUAAUCGGGACGAAAGGCCUUCUUGCGAAUAGUGAGAAGGAUUGACGGUACCGGAAUAGAAAGCCACGGCUAA